UGGUUAUUACCAAGGCUUUUAGAAUGCAGUUUCUCAUUUGCUCUGGACAUGACCAGAGGAAAAAUUUCCUAUUACAUUUUAUUUCUACUACCUUGUUAAAAUUCAGCCUAUUAGGAACAUGU